CUUAGGGAGGCAGCAGUGGGGAAUAUUGCACAAUGGGCGCAAGCCUGAUGCAGCCAUGCCGCGUGUAUGAAGAAGGCCUUCGGGUUGUAAAGCACUUUCAGCGGGGAGGAAGGCGAUACGGUUAAUAACCGUGUUGAUUGACGUUACCCGCAGAAGAAGCACCGGCUAACUCCGUGCCAGCAGCCGCGGUAA
rnacentral:rRNA from 1 species